rnacentral:rRNA from 1 species
GACGAACGCUGGCGGCGUGCUUAACACAUGCAAGUCGAACGGAAAGGCCCUGCUUUUGUGGGGUGCUCGAGUGGCGAACGGGUGAGUAACACGUGAGUAACCUGCCCUUGACUUUGGGAUAACUUCAGGAAACUGGGGCUAAUACCGGAUAGGAGCUCCUGCUGCAUGGUGGGGGUUGGAAAGUUUCGGCGGUUGGGGAUGGACUCGCGGCUUAUCAGCUUGUUGGUGGGGUAGUGGCUUACCAAGGCUUUGACGGGUAGCCGGCCUGAGAGGGUGACCGGCCACAUUGGGACUGAGAUACGGCCCAGACUCCUACGGGAGGCAGCAGGCGGGAGUAUUGCACAAUGGGCGGAAGCCUGAUGCAGCAACGCCGCGUGCGGGAUGACGGCCUUCGGGUUGUAAACCGCUUUCGCCUGUGACGAAGCGUGAGUGACGGUAAUGGGUAAAGAAGCACCGGCUAACUACGUG